GACGUAGGUGACGAACGUUAUCCGGAAUUAUUGGGCGUAAAGGGUGCGUAGAUGGCCUGAUAAGUUAGCAGUGGGAAAUCGAGGCUCAACCUCGUGGAAGCUGGUAAUACUGUCAGGCUCGAGUGCAGGAGAGGUUAACGGAACUCCAUGUGGAGCGGUAAAAUGUGUAGAUAUAUGGAAGAACACCAAUAACGGCGAAGGCAGUUAACUAUUCUGUUACUGACAUUGAGGCACGAAAGCGUGGGGGAGCAAAACGG
rnacentral:rRNA from 1 species